CGCAGCCGCGGUAAUUCCAGCUCCAAUAGCGUAUAUUAAAGUUGUUGCAGUUAAAAAGCUCGUAGUUGAAUUUCGAGACCGGCUUACUGGUCGUGCUAUUGUACGUACUGGUAUAAUCGGUUUCUCCUUUCUGACGAACUAUAAUGCCAUUAAUUUGGUGUUUUAGGGAAUCAGGACUGUUACUUUGAAGAAAUUAGAGUGUUUAAAGCAGGCUCACGCUUGAAUACAUUAGCAUGGAAUAACGGAAUAGGACGUUUGAUUCUAUUUUGUUGGUUUCUAGGAUCGACGUAAUGAUUAAUAGGGAUAGUUGGGGGCAUUAGUAUUCAAUUGUCAGAGGUGAAAUUCUUGGAUUUAUUGAAGACUAACUACUGCGAAAGCAUUUGCCAAGGAUGUUUUCAUUAAUCAAGAACGAAAGUUAGGGGAUCGAAGACGAUCAGAUACCGUCGUAGUCUUAACCAUAAACUAUGCCGACUAGGGAUCGGAUGAUGUUAUUUUUUAAUGACUCAUUCGGCGCCUUACG
rnacentral:rRNA from 1 species